UCAAGAAACUUCCACAAUGGGCGAAAGCCUGAUGGAGCGACGUCGCGUGAUGGACGAAGUGCUUCGGCACGUAAACAUCUUUUAUGUGGGAUGAAAUUAUUGACAGUACCACAUGAAUAAGGGGCUCCUAACUCUGUGCCAGCAGGAGCGGUAAUACAGAGGCCCCAAGCGUUAUCCGGAAUCACUGGGCGUAAAGGGUGUCGAGGCGGUUGUAUUAGUCGUUCGUAAAAUCUACGAGCUUAACUUGUAGGCGGCGAACGAAACGGUACGACUUGAGGUUUGGAGAGGUGCGUGGAACUCACGGUGUAGGGGUGAAAUCCGUUGAUAUCGUGGGGAACACCAAAGGCGAAGGCAGCGCACUGGCCAAAAUCUGACGCUCACACACGAAAGCUAGGGUAGCGAAGAGGAUUAGAUACCCCCGUAGUCCCUGAG
rnacentral:rRNA from 1 species